rnacentral:rRNA from 1 species
AAGCGCUUGCAAUCAGACUUGCACUUGGUGUUCAUCAGGGUCUCGUACCCUGUGUACUUCAUCAAGUUCAGGCCAGCAUCAGUUUGAGUGGUUAGAUAAAGGUCUCUGUCACGUACCUCCUUUCGGGGAGGCCUUAUAGGGGAGACGUCAUACAACCAGCCUGGACUGAGGUCCGCGCAUCUGCUAGGAUGCUGGCGUAAUGGCUGUAAGCGG